rnacentral:rRNA from 1 species
AUUGAACGCUCGCGGCAUGCUUUACACAUGCAAGUCGGACGGCAGCACAGAGACGCUUGCUUCUUGGGUGGCGAGUGGCGAACGGGUGAGUAAUAUAUCGGAACGUACCGAGUAAUGGGGGAUAACUAAUCGAAAGAUUAGCUAAUACCGCAUAUUCUCUGAGGAGGAAAGCAGGGGACCUUCGGGCCUUGCGUUAUUCGAGCGGCCGAUAUCUGAUUAGCUAGUUGGUGGGGUAAAGGCCUACCAAGGCGACGAUCAGUAGCGGGUCUGAGAGGAUGAUCCGCCACACUGGGACUGAGACACGGCCCAGACUCCUACGGGAGGCAGCAGUGGGGAAUUUUGGACAAUGGGCGCAAGCCUGAUCCAGCCAUGCCGCGUGUCUGAAGAAGGCCUUCGGGUUGUAAAGGACUUUUGUCAGGGAAGAAAAGGCUGUUGCUAAUACCGACAGCUGAUGACGGUACCUGAAGAAUAAGCACCGGCUAACUACGUG